GACAAACCGGAGGAAGGUGGGGACGUCGUCAAGUCCUCAUGGUCCAUAUGGCCAGGGCUUCACACGUAAUACAAUGGUCGGUACAGAGGGUUGCCACCCCGCGAGGGGGAGCCAAUCCCAGAAAGCCGAUCGUAGUCCGGAUUGUAGUAUGCAACUCGUCUGCAUGAAGUCGGAAUCGGUAGUAAUUGCGGAUCAGCAUGUCGCGGUGAAUACGUUCCCGGGCAUUGUACCCACCGCCCGUCACACCAUGGGAGUGGGUUUUACCAGAAGUAGUUAGUCUAACUGCAAGGAAGUCGAUUACCACGGUAGGAUUCAUGACUGGGGGGAAGUGGUAUCAAGGUAUCCGUAAUCGAAU
rnacentral:rRNA from 1 species